rnacentral:rRNA from 1 species
UACGUAGGGACCAAGCGUUGUUCGGAUUUACUGGGCGUAAAGGGCGCGUAGGCGGCAAUUCAAGUCAUCUGUGAAAUCUCUGGGCUUAACCCAGAACGGCCAGGUGAUACUGCUUUGCUAGAGUGCGGAAGGGGCAAUCGGAAUUCUUGGUGUAGCGGUGAAAUGCGUAGAUAUCAAGAGGAACACCUGAGGUGAAGACGGGUUGCUGGGCCGACACUGACGCUGACAGCGCGAAAGCCAGGGGAGCAAAC